UCAGGCCGGGGGACUGUGAGCGAUGUACUCCACUUCCAGGCUUGGGCUAAUUACCUCCUAUGUGCGGUCCUAGCUCCUUGUUCUUCUUCCACAGCGGAUGUGCAUGAGCACAGGACUUGGAUGCUACUUACUGAAGACACUUUUUCUGCAGUGUCAACAUCAUCUUCAUCAUUACUAUUACUACAAUCACCUUGAUUCAGAACCCAUCAGUCAAUGAAUGAACAACUGGAGCCUCACUAUUGGUGUGAAUAAUUUCUUUGAUAUCCACUUCUUCCAGCUUGCUGAUAGACUCUGAAGAUGGCAGUUGCAGCCAUCUUGUGACUAGAAGAAGAGGAAGCUCCAUACUCAGGGGCUCCAGAACACUAGAGUCACAGUCCUGAGACACAUACCUGGAGGCUGCCCUGCGUGUGG
rnacentral:lncRNA from 1 species